rnacentral:rRNA from 1 species
UACGGAGGUCGCAAGCGUUGUUCGGAAUUACUGGGCGUAAAGCGCGUGUAGGUGGCCUGGCAAGUCGGGUGUGAAAUCCCGGAGCUCAACUCCGGAACUGCAUCCGAUACUGCCAAGCUCGAGUCUCGGAGAGGAUGGCGGAAUUUCCGGUGUAGAGGUGAAAUUCGUAGAUAUCGGAAGGAACACCAGUGGCGAAGGCGGCCGUCUGGACGAUGACUGACACUGAGACGCGAAAGCGUGGGGAGCAAACAGG